UCUACAACGACGAUGAGCCUCUCACGUCUCCUUCUCCUGGUUCUGUCUUCAACCCUAUACCUGAAUUGGAAGAAAACGACGCCGAAGGUGAUGACCACAAUGCAGCUCAAGAGUUUCAAGGCUUCUUUGUGAAUCCAGCUCCAGUUAGAGUGAGUAAUCACGUCAUGCUAAAUGCCAAAAAUGUGGAAGUCUGUUUGUUGCCGGAUUCUGCUUUGCUGAAUGUUGGGAGGAGUUACCAGACGCACGUCGUCCUGCUCAAGGUCAGAGCGCCACCGUCCCUGGCUGCUCGUCGACGACCGCCUAUUGAUUUGGUGACUGUGCUGGACGUUAGCGAGAGGAUUUGCGGGGUGAAGUCACAAAUGAUGAAGCAUGUGAUGCGACUACUAAUAUCUUCGCUGAAUUCCACGGAUCGAUUGUCGAUUGUGGCCUUCUCGGCAACGUCCAAGCGGUUGUUGCCGUUG
rnacentral:misc_RNA from 1 species